rnacentral:ncRNA from 1 species
GUCUGGAGUGGUACUUCCAGAGGUCUUAUGAUGCUAAAGUUAGUGAAAUAUUCACUCUUGUAAUUAAAGAACUAUAUUAAAUGUACAGUUAAUCAAUCCAAUCCCUGGGCGACACACGUGCUACAAUGGAUGGGACAAAGGAUCUCGAUCCCGUGAGGGUGAGCUAAUUCCAAAAAUCCGUCCUCAGUUCGGAUUGUAGGCUGCAACUCGCCUGCAUGAAGCCGGAAUCGCUAGUAAUCGUCGGUCAGCCAUACGGCAGUGAAUUCGUUUCCGGGC